rnacentral:rRNA from 1 species
GACGAAGGGGGCUAGCGUUGUUCGGAAUUACUGGGCGUAAAGCGAGUGUAGGUGGUUGUCGUAGUCAGGCGUGAAAGCCCUGGGCUCAACCCGGGAAUUGCGCUUGAGACUGGUGUGCUUGAGUACGGGAGAGGAUAGUGGAAUUCCCAGUGUAGAGGUGAAAUUCGUAGAUAUUGGGAAGAACACCGGUGGCGAAGGCGGCUAUCUGGACCGUAACUGACGCUGAGGCGCGAAAGCGUGGGGAGCAAACAGG